rnacentral:rRNA from 1 species
CCCUUUGGGUGUGACUGCGUACCUUUUGUAUAAUGGGUCAGCGACUUAUAUUCUGUAGCAAGGUUAACCGAAUAGGGGAGCCGGAGGGAAACCGAGUCUUAACCGGGCGUUAAGUUGCAGGGUAUAGACCCGAAACCCGGUGAUCUAGCCAUGGGCAGGUUGAAGGUUGGGUAACACUAACUGGAGGACCGAACCGACUAAUGUUGAAAAAUUAGCGGAUGACCUGUGGCUGGGGGUGAAAGGCCAAUCAAACCGGGAGAUAGCUGGUUCUCCCCGAAAGCUAUUUAGGUAGCGCCUCGUGAAUUCAUCUCCGGGGGUAGAGCACUGUUUCGGCUAGGGGGCCAUCCCGGCUUACCAACCCGAUGCAAACUGCGAAUACCGGAGAAUGUUAUCACGGGAGACACACGGCGGGUGCUAACGUCCGUCGUGAAGAGGGAAACAACCCAGACCGCCAGCUAAGGUCCCAAAGUCAUGGUUAAGUGGGAAACGAUGUGGGAAGGCCCAGACAGCCAGGAUGUUGGCUUAGAAGCAGCCAUCAUUUAAAGAAAGCGUAAUAGCUCACUGGUCGAGUCGGCCUGCGCGGAAGAUGUAACGGGGCUAAACCAUGCACCGAAGCUGCGGCAGCGACACUGUGUGUUGUUGGGUAGGGGAGCGUUCUGUAAGCCUGUGAAGG